GACGAACGCUGGCGGCGUGCUUAACACAUGCAAGUCGAACGAGUGGCGGACGGGUGAGUAAUGUCUGGGAAACUGCCUGAUGGAGGGGGAUAACUACUGGAAACGGUAGCUAAUACCGCAUACCAUCAGAUGUGCCCAGAUGGGAUUGGCUGGUUGGUGGGGUAACGGCUCACCAAGGCGACGAUCCCUAGCUGGUCUGAGAGGAUGACCGGCCACACUGGAACUGAGACACGGUCCAGACUCCUACGGGAGGCAGCGGUGGGAAAUAUUGCACAAUGGGCGAAAGCCUGAUGCAGACAUGCGGCGUGUAUGAAGAGGGCCUUCGGGUUGUAAAGUACUUUCAGCGGGGAGGCGUUACCAGCAGAAGAAGCACCGGCUAACUCCGUGCCAGCAGCCCGGUAAUAC
rnacentral:rRNA from 1 species